AUGAACGCUGGCGGCGUGCCUAAUACAUGCAAGUCGAGCGAACAGACGAGGAGCUUGCUCCUCUGACGUUAGCGGCGGACGGGUGAGUAACACGUGGAUAACCUACCUAUAAGACUGGGAUAACUUCGGGAAACCGGAGCUAAUACCGGAUAAUAUAUUGAACCGCAUGGUUCAAUAGUGAAAGACGGUUUUGCUGUCACUUAUAGAUGGAUCCGCGCCGCAUUAGCUAGUUGGUAAGGUAACGGCUUACCAAGGCAACGAUGCGUAGCCGACCUGAGAGGGUGAUCGGCCACACUGGAACUGAGACACGGUCCAGACUCCUACGGGAGGCAGCAGUAGGGAAUCUUCCGCAAUGGGCGAAAGCCUGACGGAGCAACGCCGCGUGAGUGAUGAAGGUCUUCGGAUCGUAAAACUCUGUUAUUAGGGAAGAACAAAUGUGUAAGUAACUAUGCACGUCUUGACGGUACCUAAUCAGAAAGCCACGGCUACUACGUG
rnacentral:rRNA from 1 species